GCUGGGAGCAGUGGCUCACGCCUGUAAUCCCAGCACUUUGGGAGGCCGAGGCGGGCAGAUCACUUGAGGUCGGGAGUUUGAGACCAGUGUGGCCAACAUAGUGAAAACCCAUCUCUGCUAAAAAUACAAAAAUUAGCCGGGCAUGGUGGUGUGCACCACCACGCCCAGCUAAUUUUUUGUGUGUGUUUUUAGUAGAGAAGGGGUUUCCAUGUUGGUCAGGCUGGUCUCAAACUCCUGACCUCAAGUGAUCUACCCGC
rnacentral:SRP_RNA from 10 species